ensembl:lncRNA
GGAAUUCUCACUGGAGAAAUAAUAUAUAAAGUCAUUAAUGUUCAAGCACAUUUAUUGUAAAACCAUUUUGGCUUAGGCACAGUUUAUUUUUUAACAUGACAACAGAGAAUUCUGAAGGAAAGAAACUGUAGAAGGAAAGUGGAAGGACACAUUUAGGAAUUCAUUUAUUUAAUGCUUUAAUAUUUAUUGAGAGUGUGUUAUGCACAAAGUGCUAUACCAUGCAUUGUCAUCUCUGUAGCGGGCUGCUUUUACCUGGCCAAGUUCUGAAUAAAAUGAGAAAUAGGACAAAAUGUAAGAUAAGUGGAAGAUGCAAAAUCACUAUUUUUAUUAAUACAGACUAAAUUAAGUAAUAUAGCUCUGAGUAAACACAAAUAGGCCUGUUAAUUAAAACUGCAAAUUUGGCAGACUAACCCAUCAUAUCAUGGUAGUGUUAGACUAGGACAGGCCCGUGUGUACAAAGGCUGACCAGGUAGGAUUAAAGGCACGGAGGAAAGGAGAAGAGCUCCCGGUCUCCGUGGGUAGCAUCUCAUGUCAGUCUGAGGAAAAGAGGAGGGGAGGUGAAUUUGAGCAUGUCCAGUUUAUUCUUCCCAAAUUUACCAACUGGAUAAGUCAUUCCACUUCCUCUGAGAUGGUGAGGACAAGGUGCAGAGAGAAUCCUGAAGUAUUCCACCAACGGAAUUCCCCUGACGUGGAAGGAAGCAUCGGAACUCUCGUCCUCAACAUUAAGUACUGGAGAUAGAAAAGUGAACAAGACAACGCACUUCCCUUCGAAGGACUCACAGAGAGUCUUAUCAUAACAGAGAGGGUCAUCUUAAAAAUCAGUGGCAUAUUGGACUGAUUUCAUCUUUCUGUCUCAUCAGAUACUGUCACAUAUUCGUAGACACGGUCAGAGGUGUGACUUGUGACAACUAAUGGCUGUAUCUAAAGAUAGAGAUCUAGGAGCUAGCAAGUCGGAAUUUGGUUGCGUUCUGAAUCUACUCCUAACUUGCUCUGUGAUCCAAGGAGUCUUCAUCACGUCCAUGUGUGUGUGAGUAUGUGUGUGUGCAGAUUGUUUUUUACAUAGACUGGAAAUAUUGACCUCUAUAUUGUACAUAAGAAAACUAAAUAUCAGAGAAAUAAAAUGCAAGAGAAGACAGGCAACACAAAGAGGUCCUCCGGGCCCAGGAAGAACCCGUAGGCAAUCUUGCUGUCAUUUCAAGUCUCCCUCCUUCCUCCUGCAAAGCAGAGAGACAAAGGCCAAUCCUCAGAACCACGGGAGGAGCAAGCAGGUCAGACACAAGCCCAGACUUCCCGCGAACACUGAAGAAGUCAACAACCAGCAACUGUGUCCGAGGUGACCUCCUUCAAGACUCCAGAGAGCUGGUUUCCCUGGCAGGCCCAGGCAGGUGCCCAGGAUGUCACCUUCCUCAGGCUUCCUGUGCCACUGCCCUCCAAGAGAAAAAAAAUCCUUUCAAAGAAAAAUUUCAGUCCAUAUAAAUAAAACAUACCAUGCUGGCAAAUUCCGUGAAAAGGGCGGUCCCUGUUUUCCCUAAGUCAAAAUAUUUUCCUUUCCAAUAUAUUUGUUUCUUCUAAUAGGAGAAUGCUGUCUUCUCUCUCUACCACACCUUGCGGUUGAGGUUUAGACUCUCCAAGUAGCUUAGGCAUAAAGAGUCAAGCUGCUAGGUUCAGCUCCCAUUGAGUUUUUGCUUGGCUUCUAAAAGGAGACCCUGCUCCUGGAGGGAGGAUGACAGUGGCCUUGCACAUCCACCACCAUCUCAGAUUCUAUUAUUUGCACCUGC